CAUUGUUGCGGGUCAAGCCCAAUUUCCUAUUUGACCUAGCUGUGUAAAUGAAAGGAUACAAUACUAUUGCCAUUUCCAUCUUUGGUAUCUUCUCCACCAUCAUUCAUGCUCCUAAGCUUUAGCCGGCUCAAUUUCAAGCUUCUUCUUCUUCUGUGGGUGAUAAAACUUGUUCCAUCCUUGUGCUUAGAACUCCCAAAUUCUUUAGUUGCUAGCUCAGCAUUAGGUUGCUCAAGAACAUUCGAUUUCUCAACUACUUUGCCUAAAUAAUGUGCUGAUAUCUUCGGCUGUUUGUGCUUCCAGUUAUGUUCUAGAAACGUCAAACACCGACGCAUUGCCAGAUUCCCCAUAUUCGACAGUUACAAGCUUAGCAUCAGCAUUCCAGAAUCGUUCUGCACUGAACUUAACACUUCAAACACCGCUGUAUUGUUAGAACUCCCAGAUUCUUCAGUUGCUCGCUCAGCAUUAGGUUGCUCAAGAACAUUCAAGUUCUCAGCUAUUUGCCUAAAUGCUAAGCUAAUAUCUUUAGCUGUUUGUGCUUCUAGUACUGGCUUUCCAGAAUCUUCCUGUGCACCCGGGCAUCCUCAGAUUCUCCAGAUCCUUCAGUUACAAGCUUAGCAGAUGGUUGGGUUGUUUCGAAAUGACGAAAAAGGAGAAAGCGUCAAAGAUGUGCUUCGAAGAUGAUGGAUCCUUUGCUGAUGUAGUCUUAUGAUUGACCUCCUAGGCCGAUGGACAGAUAAGACGCAUCUCCCCUUUAUUUUUGGUGAUAGUUUUUGUGAGCUAACAUUGAUUGGCCAAUUUGAUUUAGCAGCACUAUUCAUCCUUAUAUAAGGAUUUAUAGUUCACUGUAAAUUUCUUUGCUACUCAGAAUCGUCACUUUUCAUGUGUUAUGUAGGCUGAACAUUUUGUAAAUAUGGAUUUAUCCUUGUAGGUCUAAUCCUUAAAUUAGGAAUUUGCAUCUUGUCCAUAUUAAGAAUCUUCCUACCUGCUGUAGGUAAUUGCUGAAAAUUGUUGAAUGUUGUUGUAUGUUCUGAUUGAGUAGCAAGAUUUGCUGAAUAGUCUGCAAGUGUGUUCCCCUCCCUAUAAAUGUGUGUGAUUGUAGCAUUUAUGUUAGACAUCAGGUUCCUUAUCUCAUCCACUGCUUCAAUCAUUUCCCAUGGGAUUCGCCAGACAUUUCUAACAAUAUUAACCAAAGCCAAAGAAUUUGAUUCUAUUUCCAUGUCAUGCCAAUUCCUUAAUGCACACAAUCUUACCACCUCUAGUAUUGCUGUCAUCUCUGCUAUCAUAUUAGUAGUAAAACCCAACCCACCUGCUUGGGCAUAUAUUAAAUUUCUCUCAUCUCCUCUCGCAACAAAUCCAUAUGCUCCUUGUCCUAGAUUGCCCUUAGAAUCCCCAUCUGUAUUGCACUUUAAUCUCCCUUGUGUUGGUGGAUACCAUUUUACUGCAUAGCAAAACAACCUUGGUUUGUACUUCUUAAACUUGGUCACCAUAUCUGCCCAAUUGUUUCCUAUUUCCUUUACCAUUGGGAAUUUCAACUGUAUAACCUGUUUGAGCAAUGUCAUCACUUGAUUGUUCACACUUUUAAAACUUUAACUCUCUCCAUGUUUGAGUUUAUUUCUCCUUUUCCACAGAACCCAUACAAUAAUUGUUGGUAACAUCUUAUAGAUUUAUUGCAAUUUUAUGGGUGCUUCUUUAAACCACCAUAUUCUGAUCACAUGUGGUAGUUGUGCUCCUUUAAUUUUAAUACCUGCAAAAUCAGCAAACUACUUCCAUAGCUUAGUAGCUAUGGGAGCUAUUAGAAAUAAAUGCUCUAUGGUUUUCUGUUUGGAUUCCUCACAGCACCAACAUCUUGAUACGAUUUGAAUCCUUAGUUUAACAAGAUUGUCAUCUGUAGGUAUUCUUCCUUUCCAAGCUCUCCAUAAAAGAAACAUAACUUUGUAGGCAAAAUUUUGUUCCAAAUAAGUUUACAUUCCUCAUUGGUCCUCCUUUUCUUCCUUAAUACCUCAUGUGCAUCCUUGACACUGAAUUUACCAUCUGAAGUAGUCAUCCACCAGGCUUUAUCCCUUUCUGUUCCAUAUUGAUGCGGUUUAAUGGUAUCAUUUAUGUGUUGUAUCAGCUCUUCAGAAAUACACUCUUUCAGCUUAUCCACAUUCCAGGAACUAUCUUCUGUUAUAAAUUCUUUGACUUCAAUCUCCUCCUCCAUAUUGUUGCCUUCUUCUAUGAAAAAUAAUGCCCCUAAUUGAGUCCAGUUAUCAAACCAGAAGCUGACACCUCCAUUCUUAAUCUGCUAAAAGAUAUUGUGUUCUAUUUUCGCCCUAACCUGUAUCAUUUUUCUCCAAACUUGUGAAUUCUAAAACCCUAUGCAAUUACAGGAUGUUUCUUCUUGCAAUACUUAUUCCACAUAAAAUGGCUCCACAAGAGUUUGUAGAUGUUAUGAAAUUCCACCAUAGCUUUGCAAACAAAGCAUCAGAAACUGUAUGCAAAGAUCUAAAGCCAAUUCUCCCUUCUGAUUUUGGAUAACACAAAUCAUCCCAUGUAACCCUAUUCUUCCCUUUUGAACCUCCUAUUUUGCCCCAAAAAAACCUUGCCAUCAUCUUAUGUAUUUAAUCAAUAACACCUUUCGGAGGAUUUAUUACAGACAUCAGAUAUACUGGCAUUGAUUGAAGGCCAUUACACAACAACACAUACCUCCCCCCAUAAGUCAACAUCCUUCCAUGUCAAGCCAGAAUUCUUUUAGCAAUUUUAUUUAUGAUUUCCUCAAAGUAUAUCUUCUUUUUUCUUUCAUAAAAAAUUAGACAUCCCAGGUAUGUAAAUGGGAAAUUUCCAAUAACAAUGCCUGUUAAUGUCCACAGCUUGUGCUUAUCAGCCAUUGAAAUUUUCUCAUAAACAUAUAUAUAGCUCUUGGAGAGAUUGAUUAAAUGUCCAAACACUUUUUCAUAGUCCUGUAAUACCCUCAUCAUCUUUUUCACUGAACCUUUAUGACCUGAGCAAAAGAGGAUUGCAUCAUCUGCAUAUGACAAAUGAUUAAUACUUUCACUCCAUUUGGGCAUUCCAAAUCCUAUGAACUUCUCAUCUUCUUUAAGCUUAUUCAGGCUUCUAGCUAAAACUUCAGCAACAGUUAUAAAUAAAGUGGGUGAUAGAGGAUCACCUUGUUUUAACCCUCUUAAGGAGUGGAAGAAGCCAAAAACCUUUCCAUUUACAAUCACUGAGUAUCAGUUAUUUGAAAUUAAUCUCCACACCAUAUCAAUCACUCUUUGGAGAAACCCAUUUAUCUGAAAACUCUUAUUAAAUACAACCACGACACUCUUAUCAUUAGCCUUUGCCAUAUCCAAUUUUACAACCAGAUUAUGGUGCUUAUUCCUUUUGUUAAUAUCUCUAAUGAUUUUCUGUGCCAGUAAGACAUUUUCAGUUAUGCUUCUUCCUUUCAUGAACCCAGAUUGAUUCUUUGAAAUAAUAUCAGGUAAACAUUUCACAAUCCUAGCAUGAAUAACCUUUGAAAUGAUCUUAUUAAUAUAAGAACUCAAACUGAUUGGCCUUAGGUCAGUCAUUCUUUCAAACUUGUCUUUCUUAGGAAUUAAUACUAGGUUAGUAUUUGUAAUGUACCUUGGAAGCUCCAUCCCACAAAAGAAAGCCAUUACUACUAUGAAAAUAUCAUUUCCAAUUAUAUCCCAACAGUUUUGAAAAAAUUCACCUGAGAAACCAUCCGGGCCACUGGCACUAUCCUUAUUAAGUGAGAAAAAUGCAUCUUUUACUUCUUCUACAGUUUGAAGCGCUAGACGAAUUUAGAGUCUGCAUGGACUCAACACUGCCCCAAAAUUGGAACUUCUGGUUCCGGCGAACGAAUAAUCAUUGAGUCCUCCUCUUUCCGGACAACACAUACAAAGAGACCCGCCGGGGAGGGGGACCAAGCAGGGCAUAGCUAGCGGCAUAGGAGCCGACUCGGCAUCAGCGGCUUCGUGCCGCAGGGGGGACGGCGGGGGAGGCCGGCUCCAUGACCCCGGUUGGUUGCCGAAGAUGACCCCUCUGCGCUACCAUGACGCUAUGCCGCGCCUGCACUUCUAGUUAUAGAACGCACCUGAGAGCGUUGUCCAUAUCAAUUCGUUGAUCCUCCGUAAUCAGCUUUGGCAGAUUAUAUAUCAUUAUAUAUUCCUCCGAAGUUCCUUGUUCAGAGAAUUGUUCUUUAAAUACCCUAACAGCUUCAUCACCAAUUUCCCUAGUCUCCUUUAAUAUCACAUCUUUAGCAUUUUUAAUUUCAUUUAUUAUCAGCUUUCUUCUCCUUCCUAUGACAUAUGAGUGAAAGAAUUUAGUAUUCCUAUCACCAUCCUUAAACCAUGUCAUUCCUGCAUUUUGUUUCCAAUAUUCUUCCUCUAUUUUAUAAUACUGCAUCAACUCUUUUUCAGCAUUUCUUAAUUCCAAUCUAUUCUCUUCUGAAUUGUUCGUCUCCAACUGUAUUUCUUUCAUCUUUAUAAAAUCUUCCAUUGUAGCCACUUUCUGAAAGAAAUUGCCAUAAGUCUCUUUGCUCCAUCUAACUAAUUCACCUUGUAAUGCCUUUAUUUUUUCAUGACUACUUUAAAAGGAUUGCCUUCCACCUUUCUGUCCCACACCUUUUUAACCACCAUAUUGAAUUGCUCAUGUUUAGUCUAGAAAUUUAAAAAUCUUAAAGGUUUAGCACCUCUUUUUUGAUUAGUGUUGCAGUUUGUAUUGGAGCAUGAUCAGAACCCUGCCUUAUUAAAUGAUGAACUUCUGAUGAAGGAAAAUCAUUCAUAAAAUCCUGAUUACCUAGAAUCCUGUCCUGCCUUUUGAAUAUGCAUUCUUCCCCUACUUUACCAUUCCACCAAGUGUAAUCACUACCAAAAUACUUUAAAUCCACUAAGCUGCAGUUAUUAAUACAUUGUGAAAAAUCAGCAACUUCUUCAUAAGUGAUUGGCAGUCCACCCCAUUUCUCUUCUGAUUUCAGAAUAACGUUAAAAUAUCCUCCUACAAUCCAUGGCUGCUUGAUUUGAGAACUUAGAAAUUCCAAAUCUUCCCAUAAUUGUAGCCUCUCAAUAGCACUGCAUCUUGCAUAUACAACAGUAAUAUAAAUCACCUUUAGCAUUGUAUUAUGAGUGAACUUGACUGUAAUUUGUUGUAUACUAUCAGGCGCUCUCUCUCCUAUCCAAUCUUUAUUCCAAAAAAUCCAUAUUUUUACAGAGAUUUACAACAACAUUUUCCAUCUUCAGUUUUUUUUUCGUAUUCAUCUAUCUGUUGAGGCCCUUGAAAAGGGGGUUCUAGAAGGGCUAUGUAUGCAUAUUUGUUCCGCCUUUUCAAAUCAGUCAACCUCUCAAAUGAAUUUUGAGUGUUUACUGAUCUGAUAUUCCAAAAUACUAUUUUGUCUAUCAUUGUUUAACCAGUGGUGGUUUAACCAUGCUACUCAUUGUUUUUUUAUUAGCAGCCUUGCUAGACCUCUUCCCUUUAUUCAGCUGAUUCACAUGUCUAGGAGAAAGAUCUCCUUGCUUACUGGCCUCCUUUAUGUUUUCCUGAAUGUCUUCUCUAUCUUCAUCUUCUACUCUCUCCGCUCCGUCAAGAUCCAGGAUGUUCUCCUCCUUGUGUUGCAGUUACAUUUGGAAUUGACUUCUCCUUCAAAUUAUUCAUUGAAUUAUUAUCCCUGUCUGCAGUAUCCUUCACCACCUAGACUGAUUCCCCUGAGGAUGGAUCCUCAGAUGAGGCUUUGUACAAGUCAAUUAUAUUGUUUGUUGGUUUGUCACCUGUACCCUUUUCCUAUUCUCCAAAUACUUAUUCUACCCACUUUUUUGUACUUUCUGUUCCUUUAUCAAAGCUUUCAUUACCAUUUUCAUUCUCAGUUUUAUCUUCUUGAUCUUCCUCCUUCUGACUUUCAUUGUCCAAGGGCUCAAACUUGUUAUUAGUUAUCAUACCUGCUGCUUCGUCUUUGUCUUUAUGAUUCCAUCUCAUUGUUGCACCUUCUCUCCGAUGAUAUCUUCCCCUUCGUACCCCAUUCCUUUGUCUUUUUCACGAAAGUUAUUAUCUCUGUUCUGUCCAUGUUCCUCUUGAUCCCUUUUCCUUGCUUCUUUCUCUGUAUUUUUCUCUUGUACUAUCUUGUCUACUCUUUUCUUCUUUUCCGAUUCUUCCUCUUUUGGAUAUAACUCAGGAUGUAACACAAAACAUUCCUUCUCAUUAUGUCCUUGCGACUUGCAGUUCUUGCAAUAUUUUGGUAAAUAAUCAAAUUUAAUUUGUAUCCACUUUGCCACAAUUUCUCUGUUCUUCUUCUUAAUUCCAAUAUUGAUUCUCUUUGGAAAUUCACCCAAUAAAUCCACUUCGACCUUGACUCUUGCACAGCUAGGCCUUGUUUUGUUACAUGUUGCCAUAUCAACUUGUAAUGGUUUUCCUACAGUCGCAGCUAGUGAAAAAAUUAUCUCCUUCCCGAAGAAAUUAGGUGGUAACGUAGGCAAGGAAAUCCAUGCAACAACCAUUGAUGUUUCUUCUUCUGGAUCGAAUAAAGGAUCCCACUUAAAAGUACGCAUUGGAGAAUUCUAAUUGUUAUGAGCAAUGUAAAAAAUUGGUUUGGAAAGCAAGCUCAUGCAAUCCUCCAAUCUCGAAGCUCGAAUAAGCACAUAUCUAUUGCAUAAUCUACCAAUAUUAACAUCACCUUUUAAUCCACAUUGUUUUGAAAUCAAAGUACGCAAUUCUUGUAUUAUAUCCAGCCAACCAUAUGAGAAUUUUCCUACAACUGCGUACUCCAAUUCUCCAUUAACGGUCAUUUGGGAAAUCUCGUCUCCCCCCCAAAUCACUCUAGGUUCACCAUGCAGGUACGUUAUAGAGGUUUUAGGGGUAAAGGUAUGUGAUUUAUCUUAGUCGGUUUUAAGGUGGCAGCAUAAUUCAUAUCUUCUUUAUUGGUGCUUAAUGCUUUCAUGUUAACAGGUUGAGCAGCCUCCGGCAAUGGCUGCCCAACGGCCAGAUUGGCCAUCGGCGACAGAUCUAGGGAUUCUUCGAGCUAGGGUUUUGCUAGGGGCAUUUGGGCGUUUUUUGAUUGUAAUUUAUUUUAAAAGUAUACUUGACUAUCAAUGCCAUAAAAUUUUGGACGAGAUCGUAUAUUAUUUGAAAAUUACAUACAA